AUCGACGUGUUGCUUUAUGACUCUGGUGUGUAUAGUAUGUAGAAUUCCAAUGUGUUUUUGUUUUUUUCAUGUCAAAAAAGAGUAGCGAUCGAAAGACGACAACACAAGUAGCUCAUUUUCCAUUGGUUUAUAUUUAUUGUCCUGUAUAUAAUAACUGGUAAACUACAACUAAGUGACUUUUAUACAAUUCAAAGGUUUAGCAUUGUACUCUUAAUAACGAAACAUGUUUAGAUUAUUGAAAGUAACACAGCAUGAGUGACAGGAGGCUUGACAAAUGGGAAGGAAGACAGGGUCUCUGGUUGCAUCAUCACCAGCAGCUGUCCCAGCUAGCACAUUUGGUUCCUUGGAAGCUGUGGGAACGUACAUUUUAAGUAGUUAAGAUUCCUGACGGUUAAAACAAAAACGUUUUGUAUUACUUUCUGAGAAUAGAAGUGAAAACUUAGCCUGUUCUGGGCACGUUAAUAUUUAGGUUGCAGGGUUCCCCUGAAAGCCAGCCUGGGAGUUUUUUUAUUAACAUUCUGAGAAUGGAAAUUCAAGGAUAUUUUGAAGGUAAUUAAAUAACGUUCUGAGAACAUGUUUCAGUAAGACUUUUAAUAACGCUGCUAGUUUAGUUUGGGUUAACUGUUAUGAACUCCCAGCACAGAUAGGACACAUGGACAGUUAUUUUUCUGGGCAUUAAAUCAUGCAAACACAUUCCUUUUUUAUUGUGGCAUGUGAGAUUCAAACCUAUGAUCUUCUGUUCUCUAUCCAUGGAAUUAGUCCACAGCUCCACCAAGAUGGAGCUAGCAUGCCAUGUUAAAAAGAAAAACUCAAACAAACCUGUUCAUUUUAGUCUUUACAAACAGACCCUAGUUAUUUCUCAACGUUCUGUGAACGUGACUUUAAAUAGAACCGUGAAGAAACCUGUAGAAAACAUUUUUGCUGAAGUACUGAAAUUCCCACAGAAGAAUGUUAUAAAACUGUAGUAAAAAUGUAAUGGGACAGUUGUAUACUAAAUAAACAUAGUACGUUCAAGCUCUAACCAAGCUCUAAGAAACAUAUGGUUUUCAGAACGUUAUGUGCUAGCUGGGGACCUAUCAGCACGGAGACAGGGAACAUGAUUGACAUCAAGUGGGACUACCUGUGUCUGGGUGCAAGCGUUUUGCUAGCUGGGGCAUUUGCCACAUACAGAGUUUAGGUGACCCACUGGCUUGUAAAACAAGCAGACCCUCUGUCUUUGACCUCAUGUCAGGUCAGAGCCGGUUACCAGGACACCUCUGGUUAAAAGCAGGGUGUAGGGGAUAGAUUAGCCUUAUACAGCAGGGGCAAUGUGAUUGGUAACACCGACCACAAACUCGCCCAAUCAAAACACCUUUGUCUGCAGAGAGCCAAUCCAGGACUGGUUUAUGAGUUCGACAGUAGGAGUUGGUAGAAGUGGAGCUUUGGAGCCCUGCAGAAUAACAGCCCCUCUAAGACUGUAACUAGGCAUCCCCUGCACCAGGAGACAGACAGACAGGUAACAGUCCCCCUAAGACUGUAACUAGGCAUCCCCUGCACCAGGAGACAGACAGGUAGCAGUCCCUCUAAGACUGUAACUAGGCAUCCCCUGCACCAGGAGACAGACAGGUAGCAGUCCCCCUAAGACUGUAACUAGGCAUCCCCUGCACCAGGAGACAGACAGGUAACAGCCCCUCUAAGACUGUAACUAGGCAUCCCCUGCACCAGGAGACAGACAGACAGGUAACAGUCCCUCUAAGACUGUAACUAGGCAUCCCCUGCACCAGGAGACAGACAGACAGGUAACAGUCCCUCUAAGACUGUAACUAGGCAUCCCCUGC
ensembl:lncRNA